CAAUUUUGAUUUUCGCCUUACUUUGUCAUCAAUUGUCAGCAGCAUCAAUUUAUUUCAUACAGCAGACCGUGAAUCAUGAAAGGAUCGGUCAAUGAGGUUAACGAAGCCUACCGAGAUAGGUCCAGUUAACUCUAAAUUGAACGCGAAAUGCCAAAAUCGUUGCAGUUCUUAGUGCUUUUUGGUCUGACGCUAAAUAAAGUUUACUGAUAUAGUGUUAGGAUUUCAACCAAUAGUAUCCAAGAAUCAUGAGCUUGGUGAGUACCUUCAGUGUCAUCAAAUCGAACUUCAAACUAGCACCACAACAGUAUAUCAUAGACAACUGGGUGUUCAAACUACAUUAUAAAGCCUCGGUUUUAUUUUUUCUGAUCGCAACAAUUUUGGUGACUUCAAGACAGUACAUCGGGGAACAUAUCAGAUGCAUUGCAGAUGGAGGUGUUCCUGAACAUGUGAUGAACACUUUUUGUUUCUUCACAACAACUUUCACCGUG